rnacentral:misc_RNA from 1 species
GUCCUAGUGCCGGUCCGGCCCAUAUGUUGGGUUGUGACAACUAUUGGGAAUAAUUUGCUGGAAUUAAGUUGAGGUAAGUGUUUGUCAAAUUUAUUAGCAAAAAUUAUUACUUUAUGCAUCAUUGAAUGGUAACUGCCAAUAUAGUAUAUCCAGUUAGCAAUCUAUAUUAAUUUGGCUAUAAGUUGAGUUGUAGAGCUCCAAUUGAGAUAUAAUUCUUAUUACAAGUUAUGAAAAUUACGGGUAACGCUCCCAGUUCAGCUGUUAUGCUACUGGAUUGGGGGUUGUUACAGAUUCUUUGUUACCUGAGGUGUUGAAAUUUUGUGAUAAAU